rnacentral:rRNA from 1 species
UACGGAGGGGGCUAGCGUUGUUCGGAAUUACUGGGCGUAAAGCGCGCGUAGGCGGACCUGCAAGUCGGGGGUGAAAGCCCGAGGCUCAACCUCGGAACUGCCUUCGAUACUGCGGGUCUCGAGUCCGGGAGAGGUGAGUGGAAUUCCUAGUGUAGAGGUGAAAUUCGUAGAUAUUAGGAAGAACACCAGUGGCGGAAGGCGGCUCAGCUGGCCCGGUACUG